AGGACCCACUGAAAUGAUUUUUUGGGGGUUAGGACCUUCUGGGAAUUGAAGGGGUUCAAAGUUUGUAUUAUUUUUUUUUUUACGUGUCCACCGUACAUUCUUUCGGCAAGUCUCGCCAGCUCCGUACGGCAAAGUUCGACACCGGACAUAGCUCAAAUGAAAGGUAAUGAAUCAGAGCAGGACCCACUGAAAUGAUUUUUUGGGGGUUAGGACCUUCUGGGAAUUGAAGGGGUUCAAAGUUUGUAUUAUUUAUUUUUUUACGUGUCCACCGUACAUUCUUUCGGCAAGUCUCGCCAGCUCCGUACGGCAAAGUUCGACACCGGACAUAGCUCAAAUGAAAGGUAAUGAAUCAGAGCAGGACCCACUGAAAUGAUUUUUUGGGGGUUAGGACCUUCUGGGAAUUGAAGGGGUUCAAAGUUUGUAUUAUUUUUUCUUUUUACGUGUCCACCGUACAUUCUUUCGGCAAGUCUCGCCAGCUCCGUACGGCAAAGUUCGACACCGGACAUAGCUCAAAUGAAAGGUAAUGAAUCAGAGUAGGACCCACUGAAAUGAUUUUUUGGGGGUUAGGACCUUCUGGGAAUUGAAGGGGUUCAAAGUUUAUAUUAUUUUUUUUUUUACGUGUCCACCGUACAUUCUUUCGGCAAGUCUCGCCAGCUCCGUACGGCAAAGUUCGACACCGGACAUAGCUCAAAUGAAAGGUAAUGAAUCAGAGCAGGACCCACUGAAAGGAUUUUUUGGGGGUUAGGACCUUCUGGGAAUUGAAGGGGUUCAAAUUUGUAUUCUUUUUUUUUUACGUGUCCACCGUACAUUCUUUCGGCAAGUCUCGCCAGCUCCGUACGGCAAAGUUCGACACCGGACAUAGCUCAAAUGAAAGGUAAUGAAUCAGAGCAGGACCCACUGAAAUUAUUUUUUGGGGGUUAGGACCUUCUGGGAAUUGAAGGGGUUCAAAGUUUGUAUUAUUUUUUUUUUUACGUGUCCACCGUACAUUCUUUCGGCAAGUCUCGCCAGCUCCGUACGGCAAAGUUCGACACCGGACAUAGCUCAAAUGAAAGGUAAUGAAUCAGAGCAGGACCCACUGAAAUGAUUUUUUGGGGGUUAGGACCUUCUGGGAAUUGAAGGGGUUCAAAGUUUGUAUUAUUUUUUUUUUUACGUGUCCACCGUACAUUCUUUCGGCAAGUCUCGCCAGCUCCGUACGGCAAAGUUCGACACCGGACAUAGCUCAAAUGAAAGGUAAUGAA